UCGUAAGUUACGAUUACACUUAAAAUCUAUUAAAUUGUUUGAAAUCAAUUUAAUUAGCUGUAGUGCCGAAGAAAAUGAGCUCCAAGAAGGUGACGAAAAAGAUCGAGAAGAUUAGUGCGAAAAAGUUAUUAAAAAUUCCGAUGAAAUCAACAAAGUCAUCGAUGUGUGGAGUGAAAAUGUGGACGCCUUGCGCAAAACUUGCAAGAACUCCCAUAUUUACUUAAAAAUGUGUGAGCAACUACGGAGCUAUGGCAUCCGCUUGACUCCAACCGAAUUGCGCAACCGGAUCCACAAUUUGUCCAGAAGAUACAGGGUCGAGAAAAACAAAAUGGGAGUGUCCGGAGGAACACGGUUAACCUGGACCUAUUUGUUUGUCAAUUGUUUCUUGAAAAGCUUCAAGCAAAAUAAUAUGACCGAAUUAAUGGACGAGAACUUUGUUGCCGACUCGAAAGCAGCAUCCAAUCAUCCGGAAGCCAUAUAAGAACCGGAAUGUAUGGAAUUUGCGGAAAGCAUGGGAGAUGAUACGGAAGACAUGAAAGAUCCGGAUAAUCCGACAGAAAGCAUGGAUCUGUAAGAGAAGGAGGAUUUCGAAGUAGAACUCUUUGAUGAUGAUGCUUCCGAAUAUUGUGUGCUGUACACACAGCUGUCCGAGCCAGAAUCUCCCCGGUCACCUUUGUCAACAAUUUCGCAGGAUUUUGGCAACAACGACUAUUUCCCGUUCUCGCAUCACAAGAAGAAGUUGAGGUCCGGCGUGCAGCAUUAUUAGAUGAUAGUAUCGGAAGAUCAAC